UUGUAUUUUAAUAGACUACCAUACCAUUUCUUUCUUAAAUCCAUAUAAAAUUUGGUAGGAUUAAACAUUGCGGCCUCCAAACGUUGCCUGGAAUUAUUUCGUCGGAGAAUCAGGAUUCGAUGCGGAUGGAAAUGGAAUCAGCCGCUAAGCGGCAGAGAUAGAAAGAGAGAGAGAGAGAGAGAACGAGAUGGUGGAGGCGGUGGGAAGAAGCUGGAGGAUGGCGGUGGCGGUGUGGUGUUGGGAAGAAACUGUGGCCGGUGGUGGAGUCCCGUGUAGAUAAACCGUCUGCCAUCAAUCUGAGGCAUGGUGGCGGCGGUGUGAACAAGCUGAUGAUAGAACGGUGGAUGUGAAAGUGAAGCUGAAGUAGGUGUCCGACAAGCGAAAUACAUAAUACAUCGUCAAGAAUCUGCCUCCCUUUGACCUCCGUGGGUUGCCGCGGCUGGCCGCAAGGGUGUCGCCGGAAAAACCACAGCCACAUUUUGUCAUAGUUAUAACUAGAUGUAGCUUGGUAUAUGUGAAAUUAGUGUUGAUAGUUAAAACUAAAAGAAAACAAAGUGGAGAAACCGAUGGUAUAUACUUCAAUAGAUGCUUCUUUCAUGUGGGUUUAGUGGCUGUGAAUUGUUAUCCCCUUAGUCUGUAAAUAUGCAAACCAAUCAUUUGAAACGAAAAGAAAAGGUUUAUU
rnacentral:lncRNA from 1 species